UCUGCAACUCGACUCCAUGAAGCUGGAUUCGCUAGUAAUCGCGCAUCAGCCAUGGCGCGGUGAAUACGUUCCCGGGCCUUGUACACACCGCCCGUCAAGCCAUGGGAGUCGGGAGUGCCUGAAGUUCGUGACCGUCACAGGAGCGACCUAAGGCAAGACCGAUGACUGGGCUAAGUCGUAACAAGGUAUC
rnacentral:rRNA from 1 species